GGCCCGCACAAGCAGCGGAGCGUGUGGUUUAAUUCGAUGUUACACGAAGAACCUUACCAGGGUUUGACAUGCAAGUGGUAGGAAGCCGAAAGGUGACCGACCCUUCGGGGAGCUUGCACAGGUGCUGCAUGGCUGUCGUCAGCUCGUGUCGUGAGAUGUUCGGUUAAGUCCGCUAACGAGCGCAACCCUCGCUGUGUGUUAUAUGUGUCACACGGGACUGCCGGUCUUAAGCCGGAGGAAGGUGGGGAUGAUGUCAAGUCAGCAUGGCCUUUAUAUCCUGGGCUACACACACGCUACAAUGGUCUGUACAAUUGGUUGCCAAGCCGCGAGGCGGAGCCAAUCCGUAAAGCAGGCCUCAGUUCAGAUUACAGUCUGCAACUCGACUGCAUGAAGCCGGAGUUGCUAGUAACCGCAGGUCAGCAAUACUGCGGUGAAUACGUUCCCGGGUCUU
rnacentral:rRNA from 1 species